rnacentral:rRNA from 1 species
GACGAACGCUGGCGGCGUGCUUAACACAUGCAAGUCGAACGGAAAGGCCUCUUCGGGGGGUACUCGAGUGGCGAACGGGUGAGUAACACGUGAGUAACCUGCCCUUGACUUUGGGAUAACUUCAGGAAACUGGGGCUAAUACCGGAUAGGAGCUCCUGCUGCAUGGUGGGGGUUGGAAAGUUUCGGCGGUUGGGGAUGGACUCGCGGCUUAUCAGCUUGUUGGUGGGGUAGUGGCUUACCAAGGCUUUGACGGGUAGCCGGCCUGAGAGGGUGACCGGCCACAUUGGGACUGAGAUACGGCCCAGACUCCUACGGGAGGCAGCAGUGGGGAAUAUUGCACAAUGGGUGGAAGCCUGAUGCAGCAACGCCGUGUGCGGGAUGACGGCCUUCGGGUUGUAAACCGCUUUCGCUCAUGACGAAGCUUUGUGUGACGGUAGUGGGUAAAGAAGCACCGGCUAACUACGUG